GAUGAACGCUGGCGGCGUGCCUAAUACAUGCAAGUCGAGCGAACAGACGAGGAGCUUGCUCCGCUGACGUUAGCGGCGGACGGGUGUGUAACACGUGGAUAACCUCCCUAUAAGACGGGGAUAACUUCGGGAAACCGGAGCUAAUACCGGAUAAUAUAUUGAACCGCAUGGUUCAAUAGUGAAAGACGGUUUUGCUGUCACUUAUAGAUGGAUCCGCGCCGCAUUAGCUAGUUGGUAAGGUAACGGCUUACCAAGGCAACGAUGCGUAGCCGACCUGAGAGGGUGAUCGGCCACUGGAACGGAGACACGGUCCAGACUCCUACGGGAGGCAGCAGUAGGGAAUCUUCCGCAAUGGGCGAAAGCCUUACGGAGCAACGCCGCGUGAGUGACGAAGGUCUUCGGAGCGUAAAACUCUGUUAUUAGGGAAGAACAAAUGUCUACGUAACUAUGCACGUCUUGACGGUACCUAAUCAGAAAGCCACGGCUAACUACGUG
rnacentral:rRNA from 1 species